UACGUAGGGCGCGAGCGUUGUCCGGAAUCAUUGGGCGUAAAGAGCUCGUAGGCGGCCUGUCGCGUCUGCUGUGAAAUCCCGGGGCUUAACCCCGGGCGUGCAGUGGAUACGGGCUGGCUGGAGGCAGGCAGGGGAGAACGGAAUUCCAGGUGUAGCGGUGAAAUGCGUAGAUAUCUGGAGGAACACCGGUGGCGAAGGCGGCAUCCUGGACCGGUAUUGACGCUGAGGCGCGAAAGCUAGGGGAGCAAACGGG
rnacentral:rRNA from 1 species